rnacentral:rRNA from 1 species
GACGAACGCUGGCGGCGUGCUUAACACAUGCAAGUCGAACGGAGCGAAUGAAAGCUUGCUUUUAUAAGCUUAGUGGCAAACGGGUGAGUAACACGUAGACAACCUGCCGACAGGAUGGGGACAACAUUCCGAAAGGAAUGCUAAUACCGAAUGAAGUGCAGGGGAGGCAUCUCCCCUGCAUGAAAGAUGGCCUCUGAAUAUGCUAUUACCUGUUGAUGGGUCUGCGUCUGAUUAGCUGGUAGGUGAGGUAACGGCUCACCUAGGCGACGAUCAGUAGCCGGUCUGAGAGGAUGAACGGCCACAUUGGGACUGAGACACGGCCCAGACUCCUACGGGAGGCAGCAGUGGGGAAUCUUCCGCAAUGGGCGCAAGCCUGACGGAGCAACGCCGCGUGAGUGAAGAAGGUCUUCGGAUCGUAAAGCUCUGUUGAUGGGGACGAACGUGCCUAAUGCGAAUAGUAUUAGGUAAGACGGUACCC